GAUGAACGCUGGCGGCGUGCCUAAUACAUGCAAGUCGAGCGAAGCGGGGACGGGUGAGUAACACGUGGAUACCCCCGUCUAAGACCGGGAUAACUUCGGGAAACCAGAGCUAAACCGGAUACUUAGAGAUGGAUCCGCGCUGCAUUAGCUAGUUGGUAAGUUAACGGCUUACAAAGGCAACGAUGCAUAGCCGACCCGAGAGGGUGAUCGGCCACACUUGAACUGAGACACGGUCCAGACUCCUACGGGAGGCAGCAGUAGGGAAUCUUCCGCAAUGGGCGAAAGCCUUACGGAGCAACGCCGCGUGAGUGAUGAAGGUCUUCGGAGCGUAAAACUCUGUUAUUAGUGAAGCGGUACCUAAUCAGAAAGCCACGGCUAACUACGUGCCAGCAGCCGCGGUAAUUC
rnacentral:rRNA from 1 species